rfam:Canis lupus familiaris chromosome 11, whole genome shotgun sequence.
GGGGGGCAGGAGCUCCGGAUCCUGGGCUGUGUCCGCCAGCGCCCUGGGCUCCAGGGCCUGUGCCCUGGAAUGGCGCUCCCAGGGCCGUGAAGCCCCCU